CACGUAGGGUGCGAGCGUUGUCCGGAAUUAUUGGGCGUAAAGAGCUCGUAGGCGGUGUGUCGCGUCGGCCGUGAAAACUUGGGGCUUAACUCUGAGCGUGCGGUCGAUACGGGCAUCACUUGAGUUCGGCAGGGGAGACUGGAAUUCCUGGUGUAGCGGUGAAAUGCGCAGAUAUCAGGAGGAACACCGAUGGCGAAGGCAGGUCUCUGGGCCGAUACUGACGCUGAGGAGCGAAAGCGUGGGGAGCGAACAGG
rnacentral:rRNA from 1 species